rnacentral:rRNA from 1 species
UACCAGCACCCCGAGUGGUCGGGACGUUUUAUUGGGCCUAAAGCAUCCGUAGCCGGUUCUACAAGUCUUCCGUUAAAUCCACCUGCUUAACAGAUGGGCUGCGGAAGAUACUAUGGAGCUAGGAGGCGGGAGAGGCAAGCGGUACUCGAUGGGUAGGGGUAAAAUCCGUUGAUCCAUUGAAGACCACCAGUGGCGAAGGCGGCUUGCCAGAACGCG